UACAGAGGGUGCAAGCGUUGUUCGGAAUUAUUGGGCGUAAAGAGCGUGUAGGCGGUCCGGUAAGUCAGCUGUGAAAGUCAAGGGCUCAACCCUUGAAUGCCGGUUGAUACUGUCGGGCUAGAGUCCGGAAGAGGCGAGUGGAAUUCCCGGUGUAGCGGUGAAAUGCGCAGAUAUCGGGAGGAACACCAAUGGCGAAGGCAGCUCGCUGGGACGGUACUGACGCUGAGACGCGAAAGCGUGGGGAGCAAACAGG
rnacentral:rRNA from 1 species